UCCGAGUUGACCCCGGCGGUCUCCUAUGAGUCCCCGUCUUUCACGCUGGCAACAUAGAACGAGGGUUGCGCUCGUUGCGGGACUUAACCCAACAUCUCACGACACGAGCUGACGACAACCAUGCACCACCUGUGAACCGGCCCCAAAAGGGGAAACCACAUUUCUGCGGCGAUCCGGCCCAUGUCAAGCCUUGGUAAGGUUCUUCGCGUUGCAUCGAAUUAAGCCACAUACUCCACCGCUUGUGCAGGCCCCCGUCAAUUUCUUUGAGUUUUAAUCUUGCGACCGUACUUCCCAGGCGGCGUAUUUAACGCGUUGGCUACGCCACAAAAGGGGUCGAUUCCUUUUACAGCAAAUACGCACCGUUUACGGCUAGGACUAC
rnacentral:misc_RNA from 1 species